ensembl:lncRNA
AGAAGAAAGCUGGCUUGUGUGCUUCUCUCCGGUGGGCUCAGCCGACGUGUGAGACUCAUUCUGUUACCAAAUGAACUGGGCUGCCACGCUGUGACAGGUGUUUGUCCUCUGCUUUAUUUUUAUUUUGAAGCUAAAAUGUGAGUACUAAGUGUUCACCUCAGCAUACGAAUCAUUGGCCUGUAACCCUGUGGGCUGCUUCACGAGAAUUCAGGACCUGCAUUUUCAUUUUAAAAGGAAAUGAACAGCUUGUGAAGGAUUUUUUUGGCUUUGUAGUUUCUAUUCAUGAGGUAGUGUUAACUUCUUUAUCCCCCUAAAGACAAAAUUAAGAUAACGGGGGAUUGCCAGGAAUGGGUUUAAAAGCACAAGUUUGGUAGCUUAUCAUCUAUACCAUGGACGGUGAACCCUUUUACGAAAUGAAAGUCAAACGAGACCAUCCUAGAAAAAGAAGAUGCUCAUAGGCAUUUGUACCAUAAUCAACCCCAUGCAUAAUGAAAACUAUGACCGAGUGACGUGCCUGGGAGCUUUGACACAUGAGCCAUUUGAAUUCACUAGGAAACAUGUAAUAAGGGAGCCAUGGUUAUGCUCACGAAUAUCGACGUCACUUCUCCAGAGUUGUCAGGUAACUAACACGAGCAUUCUUUGAAGACUCUGGGCACAGGAAUGAGAUGCAGAAUUGAAUGUUUAAAUUUCCACUUUGAUUCCUCAUGAAUCGUUUGAGACUAGUGCCAGCUGAUCUUGUGUACAGGCUCAGGGUCGGUGCCGUAAGGGCUCACGUGUGUGUGUUCUGAUCUUCGGUGCUUUGCGCAUUCGCAUGUAGAAGAGAGUAGUCAGAAUAAUUGUGGAUGGCACAAGUUGCCUUUUUAAAACUACAAUCUUUAAGUGUAAAGUUUGGGGCCGGGAGCAAUUUUAUGAUCAAAUAUGAUGAACUCCUAGGUACCUGAGGUGUGAUUGGGUCAACGCUGUCACGAGGUUCCUGAGGUGUGACUGGGCCAGCGCUGUCAUGAGGUUCUUGCUCUACUUUUAGUGUUCUGAUUCCACCGGGAGACUCUGGCCUAGUGUGUGGCCUUGCAUGAAUCCGUGCAGAGAGGUGUGCUUGUACUGUUACAGGGUGCUGUCAGACAUAGCUAUAGUAGGCACCUAGGAAGUGGCCAUUAUUUUUACGUUGACUUUUUAGAAUUGAGAAUGCAUGUGAGUUUUUGUUGCCGAUGAUUUAUAGUAAGCAAGUGGUUGAUGCUGUUAAUACCGGCCCUGCCCGAUUGACAUUAGGUUUAUUCAACUUUUAAAAAGAUGAAGAACUAAGGGGAACAAAUUUAAGUUUGUUGCAACUUAGCCACAUGUGCUUCCCUGGUACCAGCUGGAAUCAAGCUCGCAGGCAUCUUUCGGACACUUAAGUGUAUAUGACACAGUACUUUGUUAGCGUCUGCGCGUGUAUGGAAAGUCUACAAAAAAUGGCAUGAAAAGAUCAUGAUUGGAUUAUCUUUUAAACCUGCCCCUUCUGUAAAAAAUAGUUUAUAUAUUUUUAAAUUAGUGGGUAUGUGUGGCUUUCUUUUUUCCUAACAUUCCCAGCAAAUUUUUGCUGCUAAGACUAUCACUGUUAAAGUGAAAAUUACAGGGAAAAUGUGACACGUCUACCAUAAAACUUAGAAUGGGGGAUUUUCUUAAAAUCACUCUUGUAUGCUUUAGGAACUGGUUGGUCUCCACUUUGAUUAUUGGUGUAAAGAGCCCGAGUAUACGUGGAUUUGACUGUGAAAUGUAACUCCUUGUCUUUUAUUUGGGGCACGGGGCCCCCGGAGGGCUUACCUGUUUUCCCCACUAUGUUAACAGGUAAUUCUGAUUUAUGCGUCUAGUUUGACUUAUUUUUAACAAAAUAUUAGCAAUUAUGCUUUAAAAUGUUUAAUGUGGACUGAAAUUUUCGUCUUUUGAGAAUCUAUGAAGUGUAUCAUAUACGUGGCCUAAAGCAAGGUGUGUAUUUUGUUAUUCUAAAAUUGUUUUGCAUCUUGGCAAAUACUAAGUAUCCCAGUGGCCUUUUGUUUUAAAACCUGUGUAUCCAUCUCAUCCUUUUGCGCAUUCCUAGUAAGCAAAAAAUUUGUUAUGCCAUCUUCAUUAUUCGAAUUACAGACUUAAAAUAUGUCCAGUUUUUAAAGAAGUUUAGAUUAUGUUUUCCAUGGAAGGACAAGUCUGACUGUUCAUGGACUGAUUUUCUUUAAGAGGAUUAUUAUAUUUUACAAUUUCAAUUCUAGAUUACAAUUUUGUAUAUGCUGCAUGCCAAAAAAAAAAAAAAAAGGAGAGAGAAAACUACCUUUUCUGGUGUAGAGGGGAAGAAAAACUAAUAUUCUACCUUACUAGUAGAGUUCAAAACAAGUUUUCACUGAGAGCCUUUUCAGUAAAAGUUAAACAAGUUUGUUUUUUGAGCAUUUGUCAGUUAUUCUGUUUCAGAAGAGUCAAAAUUCAAGCACGAUGUAUUUUGAAGGCUUUGCAAACUCCUAAACCCCUGAUGAGUCCUCUCAUUCUGGAAGUGGGAAUUUGAGUAGAUACUGGUUUGUCCCGUAGUAUGGUAGAUGAUGGGGAGGUCUUUUCCAAUCAGGCAUUCGGAACACAGGCCACUGUAUGUUCUCAGCCAGUAACAAUCAUCCUGAGGACGAAGGACUCUCCGUUUGAUGCAGACACAAUUGUAAUGGAGAUGUAAACUUCUUAGCAAUCAGAUGGAUAAAUUGUUUGCUUUUUACUUUAAAUAGGAAGUUGUUUUCUAAAACUAAAAUACUUGAAUUGUCAGACAAUAUAAUCUCAGCUUGUUAGUUUUGAAUGCUCCCAUCGAGGAAGUGUAACAAUCCAUGAAAUGUGAAUAAAUGAAAAGUAAACAAAAUCCCA